rnacentral:lncRNA from 1 species
CCACAUUUUCCCUGUCUAGUCUAUCAUCAAUGGGUAUUUGGGUUGGUUCCAGGUCUUUGCUAUUGUCAACUGUGCUGCAAUGAACAUUCGUGUGCAUGUGUCCUUAUAGUAGAACGAUUUAUAAUCCUUUGGAUAUAUACCCAGUAAUGGGAUUGCUGUGUCAAAUGGAAUUUCUAUUUCUAGGUCCUUGAGGAAUCGCCACACUGUCUUCCACAAUGGUUGAACUGAUUUACACUCCCACCAGCAGUGUAAAAGUGUUCCUAUUUCUCCACAUCCUCUCCAGCAUCUGUUGUCUCCAGAUUUUUUAAUGAUCGCCAUUCUAACUGUCGGAGGUACCAUAUUGAUCCAGUAAGUAGCAGAUCGCUUUUUGUGGAGGAGACUGAUGUGAUUUCCAUUAGUGGGACAUUCCCCACAGAACAACUACAUCCUCCAGGAGUCCAGAAACCAUAGGAGGAGCAUUUAGACCAUCUACAGCUAAGACUAGACAGACAGCUCAGAGUGCGGAGGCCUGCAUUAGGAAUUUUAGCUCCAGAACAACUUUAGAAAUAAAUCAGGAAUCCUGAGAGCACCCACAGACCUUCUGAAGGGAGUGAACUGCUUGUAAAGGACCCAGGAGUACCCCAAAUACUGUCAAUCAACAAGCUGGGAUUGCCUGCGGAGUGGAGGACCUUCUCACAAAUGGAGGAGCUAAACACAAUCCAUAUACCAGUGUACACCAGUGCUCUUGUUGCUGUUGCCGUUGUUUUCUGUUUGGAAGUAAAGACCGUUCUUGACUCCAGUCUCUUAUAGACGUCCAAGGUGAUUGGCCGAUGACUCCCCAGAUGACGUUAAUAAAAACUUAGCAUAUUGCCAAGCAGCCUAUUUGUUCCCUGCUUAACAGAGACUGCUUUCACGGUUAUGUUAUAAGGAGAAACAACAGAGUGGCAGCAUGCUUCCCCUGGAACAUUGACAUAAACUAUGUCCAGAAGCAACACCUGGCCCUGGCAUGCAUCUUUGUGGGAUAUGGGAAGAUUUGAGACCUAUGCUUUCUCUUUCUGCAUCCUUGGAAUGUAAGU